CAGCCACAGCCACUGCUACAGCCACUGCCAUAGCCACAGCCACUGCUAUAGGCACUGCCACAGCCACAGCCACUGCUACAGGCACUGCCACAGCCACUUCCACUGCCACAGCCACAGUCAAAGUCACAAACACAGACAUGGCCACAGUCUGAGCUUCAGUCCGCACUACAUAAUGAGAAGCUGUCUUCUUAAAAAAUUAAGUUAACUUCCUGUUCCAUCUCCAAAAUGCACAAUAAUUUGUAGCUCUUCACUGUCUGAAAAAAGUGUUGCUCCUUCUCUGGUUCAGGCUGAGUAACACUGGAAGAAGCUGGAGUGACCAACACUUGGUAACUAGUUACUAGAAAGUUUGAAAUGAAAAGGCAGAAGGGAACAUUUGAACUAAGAAGUAGUUUUAUAUUUAUAUUAUGAUUCUAAGACCAUAUACUCCAUAUGAACAGUACUUAGGAUUUAAAUAUAUGCACAUAAAAAUAAGAACAUCCAAAAGACAUACUUUACUACUUACUAAUAGCAUAUUCCAGAAGUCAAUGUUGUGCAUUUUUUCUUAAUAAUAAUAUCAACAUCUCUCCUUCCUUAUUGCCAGAGUGCACUUGGUCCCUUGUCUAUAGAGGACCAGGAGGGCGUGGGUGGUGUGUUCCCAGCUGAACCAGUCUAAAGAACUAUGACAUGACUGCCAUCUAUGGAACUAACCUUCUCUUUUCUCUCACCAUAGCAUUAGAAGCAGGUAGGGCAGGCAGGAUGCCUACAGGAAAUGUCACAGCUAAUGAAGAAUGAGGGAACCAUCCAAAGCCAGUGCACUCCCUGGGUUCCUAAUGAUAUCACAGGUACAAGGCAGAAUCUCAGAAGAUCUGGAACGUCCCUGAUUUGAGUAUACAAGACAGCCCCUAAAAAGUCUCUGGACCAAUCUCUUUUGAUAUCCCCGUGUACUCAAAACCAGUUGAUUUAUGGAGAGAGGAGUUUAAGCCCUGAAGAUAUCAAAUAUUGGUUAUAUCAUGGGUGUCCAACUCUGAAUUUACUCACUUCAAAAGUACCUGCUAAUAAAGGCAUUUUCCCAGGCUUAAUUAACACCAUUAAGCCAAGCAAAUGAACUCUUACUUUGAGAAGUUUCCAUCUCACAAUGAGAGUCAGUGAGAAAGGGAGAGUAUUUUCAAUGCAUGCACCCCUCUUCCUUCGGUUUGCCUGUUUCUUUCAUGACUUCUGCAUCUUAACAAACAUCCAGCCAUCUGCACAAGGCAAAGUGGACCAGUGUCUAGGUCAAACAUCUUUUUCUCUAAUGCUUUCCCUGUGUUUUCAGUGAAUAGGCUCCUUUUGUUAAUUGUAAAAUAAAUUUAUGUUUUCUUUUAUGGAAUAUGGUCACGGAUUAUAUUGAAAAUGUUAAUCGUGAGAGAAUAAAUGUUUCUUUGCAGACUGUUUCUGAAGAAGGUUAACAUUCCAUUCACUGUACAAGAGUGCUUUUUAAUGAAUAAAAAAUAUUCAUUAAAUAUAGCUUGUCAUUUAGUAGCAGACACGUGAUUCAUCAGAGUGGUAACAACACCAACUGCUUUAAUUUUUCUUCAUCUAAGACCUGCCAUGAAGGAAAAGACAAGAUUUUUAAAAAUUAGACCCUUAAAACUAUGUAUUUAAAUUUUAAAUGUUCACUUUUUAAACAUAAAAAUGUAAACUAAAAAGAACCGUAAAACUUUAUGCUGCUCUCACCCUUGUGUUUGCUGGCCUCUCUGGACUUUUGCUAAAGGUCUCCCAUUUCUAUCUGUCUACCUUCUAAUAAUGAACUGCAGUUGGGCUGGCAUAUUAUAUCCCAUAUACCUUUUGUGGUAUCUUAGUUAAUGAAGAAAAGUUUUUAUUUUUCACUUUUCCCUGGCUUAUUUCCAUCAACAAAGACUGAAGGGGCCAUUUCCUUAUUUCUGGGAGACCCCAUGUGAUCUCAUCUCAGAAAAGAGAAGAAUGUUAUUUCUUGGCUGUCUCUACUUCCCUAGAUGGUGGGUGCAGGAACUUGACAGGUAAGCUGUGGGCUGUGCCUCUUCUGUAAGCGGUUCCAACAAGAGAAGAAAAUGAGAACACAAAAUGUCUUGUCAUUGCUUUUGCCACUCUGUCUCUGUCAGGAGGACACAGCCAUCUCUUUGCCAUUACUCUGUGGGGCAUGGGCUCUGCACAGACAGGAUGGUCUCCAGUUGAGCUGAGGUCUGAACCCCGUUUGUGAUAAUUCACCUAAAUGGCACGGGGGAUGAAGAGAGAAUGAAACUAUAACAAGAAACAAAGAAGGUACAUGGAAAGUCAUAAAGGAUUUGGUAACUAUGCUGGAUUCUCUUCUGUGCUCAUACAUACUGGCUUUUAUGUCAGGAAGUCAUUGAAAUAUAUUGCCUGGGUUCCUCCCUCAUCCCUUUCACUCAACAAUCCUCCUCCUUUGCAGAGGUAAGCCAACUAAAACUGUGACAAAAAUAUCAUCAAUUACUUAUUGGAUUUCAAAGAGCAAUUUUCCAUUUGACUAUAUUUUGAAGUCAAUCACAGCACUUGCCUAUAUAUGCAAGAGAUCUAGCACACUUUAAGUUUACAGAUUAUUUUUGAUAUUAAAGGAAAUUGCUGAUAUUUAUGAAGACAACUCACUUUUAUAAAAUAAAACUGAACUUUGCCAUGACUUAGGAUAAGCCAAUAAUGUGUAGGCAAAUAUGUAAUUCCUAUUCCCCUGAAGGCUUAUUGGUGACAUCUUUUUCUUUUCCUGUUUAAAAGGAAAAAAAUCUACUGACCUUCCUAGGAACCUCUCACAGUCCUCACACUGUGUGUGGGUGUCAUUACAGCCAAGUGCCAUCUUAUUUCACAUGGCUUAGUGAUCAUUGCUGAAGAAGUGGAGGAAAGAGUGUGAGAGACAGAGGAACAGCAAGCUUUCUGUGAGACUGGGUCUCCUAGAAAUGCCAGAGAGAUUACACCCAUAGAGUCUCAUCAACAUGGCUGCCUAAAUAAGACCUGAACAAUGACAACACCAAUGGCCAUACUAACAUGCAACUGGGGAAGAUAAGGAGGUUCACACUAGAGGAAGAACUAUGGACAAUAGGGAAAUGAUAAGAACUGGAGAAAUGGUUUUCCCUGAGGAAGAACUCCCCAAUUGUUAUCUGCUAUAAAGUGGUCAGCCCUGGCAUAAGAUGCAUACAGGUAACACUAUAUGGACUGACCAGGUUUACAAUAUCACAGUGAAUGCUAUGUGUUUCAUAUAUACAAGCUAUCUAUCUAUCUAUCUAUCUAUCUAUCUAUCUAUCUAUCUAUCUAUCUACAAUUAAAUAACAAAGAUGCCAUGAAUUUGGAUGAAAGCAAAGAGGGUUACAUGGGAAGAGUUGGGGAGAGAGAAAGGGGGUCAUGUUCUAAUUGUAACUUAGAAAACAAUUUUAAUUACUAUAAAAAGCAUUCAUAGGUUUAGCAUAAUUCAUAGAAACAAGCUCUCUAUGAUAAAUGAUUCUACUUAACACCUUGAUACUUGGUACCAUCCUGUGGUAAGAUAGGUUCUCAGAAAAAAAUGUAUUGAUACUUAAAUAUUUAUUUCUCUUUCCAGGUCAAAAUUUGAUAGUGAUUUCAAAUAUAUGGAAAUUAUUGCUAAAACUUAGUAUAGGCUGAGUAUUUGAACACUCACAGGAAAUUCAUGACAUUGAUAUUUUUGCCAUCAUUUUAUAGGUUAGAAUACCAAAAACCAAAACUAUUUAUCAUUUUUGCCAAGGAGAUAAAAUGUAGCUUGGAAAAUAGCAGCCUAUCUUCAAAGUCGGGUCCUUGUUUUAUAGAAAUCUCUUUCUAGCACCACAUUAUUAUUAUGCUAUUGUCAAGUCUCUGGGAUCCAAGGGGAAAAUAGGAGAUGGUGCAGCUCUUCUUCACUGGUCUGGGAAAGAUCACAAUGUGCUUACAUAGACACCAUGGAUGAAACAUAUUUCUAAAUGUACCCAAGGAAAGGGGGUUUUGAGGUACAAGGCAGGCUGGCAGCCACAGUUCCAACAAAUGUGGUAUUGGGUAUGUGGCCAAGAAGGAAAGUAGCAAAUGACACCUCUUUUUACUUGACCCUAAGUCUCAGAUCUCCUACUGCAGGGUGGUGGACUGUAAGGUAUGGUUGAGCCAAAGGCUUGAUGCCCUGGAGACCCUGAAGAUUUAGUAGGAGCUUCGCCUGCUCUCAGCACCAAUCCCCUGUCAUAUAGCCAUAGCCCCCUAUAGAUUUGUGGUUAUCAGUAGCUGAAGGGCAAUGCCCAAGCCCUUCCACAUAUAGAUGAAGCAUCUCUAACAUCUCGGACCAAGAGGCAUGACUACAGUCAUGUAAGCUCAAAACAGAGUUCUCUAUGCCAAUGAGGUACCUAGAGGUCGAGAGGGCAUUCCAAUAAGCUUCCUUUCCCAUACAUUUCUCCCUGCAAAAGGUAUAUCAUCUCAUGCCAACCCUGAGAAGUGGGGUAUGGUUCUACAGAUCCAUUUUCCACCAUGACAAUAAUAAACUGUUUGGGACCAUGGAAUGCCUCUUUUUUUAUUGUGAUCAACAGUGGGAAGACAUGGAGAAGGCCUUCGCCUACAGAGUCACAGUCUAGUCUCUGAAAGAAGGCAUCUUUGCAUUCUCAGCCACGAUCACCACCAAGCCUGCCACUAUCAAGCCAAAGACAAUUUCUGCAGGGACUAGCUGGAGCUCCUCCCCCAUGUCCAAGAUCCUGAGAACCCACAGUUCUGGGGAGCACCGAACCAGUACGGAGUCAAACUCCCCCAUCCAGUCUCCACAAGUGGCCGUGCUCAGUGGUGGGACAGACUUGUGAUGACACAACCCUACAUCCUACAACAUGUGAAAGGAUAUGACUGUUUGGAAAUUCUCUUGCCAAAUGAACACAUCAACUAAAUUUCAGAGGAGCAUUCAGGGGAGAAGAAUCUCUCAGUCUGUCAGUACCUUAGUAUCCACAAGUCGACAUUUGUUGAACAUAAAAAAAUGAAAAGAGCAGAAUUUCUGAGUGUGAGAGGUUGACAAUGAGGCUUCUGACAAAGCUUCAUGUUUCAAAUAUAAUAUUCAAUGUCAUGUUUUUCUUUUUCUCAGCACAUUUUUUGAAAAGGCAAGUGCUUUCUGGCUCUGCUGGAUAUUUGUGAAGACACGGAUCACAUGAGAACAUAAAACUUUGUAAGCUUUAAAGCCUUGCUUCUCGUCCGAGUGUGGCAGUGGAACAACAGCAUCUCCAUCUUUGAGGGGCUUGUUAAAAUUUUGGACCAUUUCCUUUGUCCCACAACCUGCCAGAUCAGAAAGGACGUUUUGACGAGCUGCCCAUGUGAUUCCAGUAGACACUGUUUAAAAGUGUUGCUGUAGAGUGCCGCUAUAACAGGAACUUGAGAACUUAACAUAACUGAUGUUAUGACGCAAGUACCAUUCCCUAAUGCUCCUGCAAUCUUUUCAUAUCACCUCAAGUUGUAGGGACAGCCAACCAUAAAAUUAUUUCUGUUUCUACAUCAUAACUGUAAUUUUUCUACCGUUAUGGAUUGUACUAUAAAUAUCUAAUAUGCAGGAUAGUCUUAGGCAAUCGCUGUGCAAGGGUCAUUUGUCCCCACCAAGGGUUCAUGACCCACAGAUUGUGAACUACCCAUUUAGACCCUAAAAGCUCAGCACAUAGACAGUACACAACAAAGACAAAGAUCUGAUCCAUCAAAGUUCAUAGUUCUAGAACCAUCUCUAAAUGCACCACCUUUGGAUUUUUGGCUUCUGUAGUUCUGCUUUGGCUAACUGUUCUUACUAACACAAUUCCGGAGGUGGUUUCACUCUGAGAAAGGUUCAGGAUUAUACAGGAUCAUGAAUACCCAGUGUUGUCUCUACCCAGCUGAUAAAGACUUUCUAUUGUCUUAAACCCAUGUCCAUGCACUCUUCUCUGGUGGACAACCCACAACAUUAGCUAAUACUUUCACACCUCUCAUAAGAGCUUUUAUUUUUAAUUAAAUUUUAAUUUUGCAUGCAAAAUAAUGUUUUUAUUAUGACAUUAUAUAUAUUUAUCCAUAUAUGCAUAAAUAUAUACAUAUAUGUCAUUACAUAUACAUAUAUAUAAUGUCUAUAUAUGUAUAUAACAAAUCAUUGUUCUUAUUUGUUUACCCCUUACUCCUCUACCCUUCUCCAACCUCUUCUUUUUGGUCUCCUUUCUCCUCCUAAAUAAACCUCCCUUCUGAUUUCA